AAGCACAUUCCUUGGAACAAAAAAAGAGACGGAAUGUUUUGGUUUUUUGCUUUGGGAAUUUGCUUCUGGUUCAAGCAAAACAAUGGAGGCAGU